GACGAACGCUGGCGGCGUGCUUAACACAUGCAAGUCGAACGGUGAAGCGAGUGCUUGCACUCGUGGAUCAGUGGCGAACGGGUGAGUAACACGUGAGUAACCUGCCCAUCACUCUGGGAUAAGCACUGGAAACGGUGUCUAAUACUGGAUACGACCAACCCUUGCAUGGGGUGUUGGUGGAAAGAUUUAUCGGUGAUGGAUGGACUCGCGGCCUAUCAGCUUGUUGGCGGGGUAAUGGCCCACCAAGGCGACGACGGGUAGCCGGCCUGAGAGGGUGACCGGCCACACUGGGACUGAGAAACGGCCCAGACUCCUACGGGAGGCAGCAGUGGGGAAUAUUGCACAAUGGGCGAAAGCCUGAUGCAGCGAAGCCGCGUGAGGGAUGACGGCCUUCGGGUUGUAAACCUCUUUCAGCAGGGAAGAAGCGAAAGUGACGGUACCUGCAGAAGAAGCACCGGCUAACUACGUG
rnacentral:rRNA from 1 species